rnacentral:rRNA from 12 species
CAGUGGGGAAUAUUGCACAAUGGGGGAAACCCUGAUGCAGCCAUGCCGCGUGUGUGAAGAAGGCCUUCGGGUUGUAAAGCACUUUCAGUUGUGAGGAAAAGUUAGUCGCUAAUAUCGGCUAGCCUUGACGUUAGCAACAGAAGAAGCACCGGCUAACUCCGUGCCAGCAGCCGCGGUAAUACGGAGGGUGCAAGCGUUAUCCGGAUUCAUUGGGUUUAAAGGGUACGUAGGCGGAUAUAUAAGUCAGUGGUGAAAUCCCGGAGCUCAACUUCGGAACUGCCAUUGAAACUGUAUAUCUUGAAUUUGGUUGAAGUGGGCGGAAUAUGACAUGUAGCGGUGAAAUGCAUAGAUAUGUCAUGGAACACCAAUAGUGAAGACAGCUCACUAAGCCACGAUUGACGCUGAGGUACGAAAGCAUGGGGAGCGAACAGGAUUAGAUACCCUGGUAGUCCACGCCGUAAACGAUGAUCACUCGAUAUUGGGUUUUACUCAGUGUCCAAGCGAAAGUGAUAAGUGAUCCACCUGGGGAGUACGCCCGCAAGGGUGAAACUCAAAGGAAUUGACGGGGGCCCGCACAAGCGGUGGAGCAUGUGGUUUAAUUCGAUGAUACGCGAGGAACCUUACCAGGGCUUAAAUGUAGAACGACCGAGGUGGAAACAUCUCUUUUUUCGAACGGUCUACAAGGUGCUGCAUGGUUGUCGUCAGCUCGUGCUGUGAAGUGUCGGGUUAAGUCCCAUAACGAGCGCAACCCCUAUUUCUAGUUGCCAGCGGUUCGGCCGGGGACUCUAGAGAAACUGCCGGCGUAAGCCGAGAGGAAGGUGGGGAUGACGUCAAAUCAUCACGGCCCUUACGUCCUGGGCUACACACGUGCUACAAUGGCCGGUACAGAGGGAAGCCACCCCGCAAGGGGGCGCGGAUCUACAAAACCGGUCACAGUUCGGAUCGGGGUCUGCAACUCGACCCCGUGAAGCUGGAAUCGCUAGUAAUCGCAUAUCAGCCAUGAUGCGGUGAAUACGUUCCCGGGCCUUGUACACACCGCC